rnacentral:rRNA from 1 species
CCUACGGGUGGCAGCAGUGAGGAAUAUUGGUCAAUGGUCGGGAGACUGAACCAGCCAAGCCGCGUGAGGGAUGAAGGUACAGAGUAUCGUAAACCUCUUUUGUCAGGGAACAAAGGCGGGGACGCGUCCCCGGAUGAGUGUACCUGAAGAAAAAGCAUCGGCUAACUCCGUGCCAGCAGCCGCGGUAAUACGGCGGAUGCGAGGGUUAUCCGGUUUUAGGGGGUUAAAAGGGUGCGCAGGCGGCCGGUAAAGUCAGCGGUCAAACCCCGGGGCUCAACCCCGUCCCGCCGUUGAAACUGGCAGUCUCGAGUUGGAGAGAAGUAUGCGGAAUGCGCGGUGUAGCGGUGAAAUGCAUAGAUAGCGCGCAGAACUCCGAUUGCGAAGGCAGCAUGCCGGCUCCACACUGACGCUGAGGCACGAAAGCGUGGGUAUCGAACAGGAUUAGAUACCCCAGUAGUC